rnacentral:rRNA from 1 species
GUGCCAGCAGCCGCGGUAAUACGAAGGGGGCUAGCGUUGCUCGGAUUCACUGGGUUUAAAGGGUGCGUAGGUGGGUUGGUAAGUCAGUGGUGAAAUCUCCAGGCUUAACUUGGAAACUGCCAUUGAUACUAUCAAUCUUGAAUACCGUGGAGGUCAGCGGAAUAUGUCAUGUAGCGGUGAAAUGCUUAGAGAUGACAUAGAACACCAAUUGCGAAGGCAGCUGGCUACACGAAUAUUGACACUGAUGCGCGAAAGCGUGGGGAUCAAACAGGAUUAGAUACCCUGGUAGUCCACGCCCUAAACGAUGGAUACUCGACAUACGCGAUAUACUGUGUGUGUCUGAGCGAAAGCAUUAAGUAUCCCACCUGGGAAGUACGAUCGCAAGAUUGAAACUCAAAGGAAUUGACGG